rnacentral:rRNA from 1 species
AUUGAACGCUGGCGGCAUGCUUUACGCAUGCAAGUCGAGCGGCAGCGCGGGGGCAACCCUGGCGGCGAGCGGCGAACGGGUGAGUAAUGCAUCGGAACGUACCCUGGAGUGGGGGAUAACGCCGCGAAAGCGGCGCUAAUACCGCAUAUGCUCUGAGGAGGAAAGUGGGGGACCGCAAGGCCUCACGCUCUGGGAGCGGCCGAUGUCCGAUUAGCUAGUUGGUGAGGUAAAGGCUUACCAAGGCGACGAUCGGUAGCUGGUCUGAGAGGAUGAUCAGCCACACUGGGACUGAGACACGGCCCAGACUCCUACGGGAGGCAGCAGUGGGGAAUUUUGGACAAUGGGGGCAACCCUGAUCCAGCCAUGCCGCGUGAGUGAAG